GCAGCCGCCGCGGGAAUACGUAGGGUGCAAGCGUUAAUCGGAAUUACUGGGCGUAAAGCGUGCGCAGGCGGUUAUAUAAGACAGAUGUGAAAUCCCCGGGCUCAACCUGGGAACUGCAUUUGUGACUGUAUAGCUAGAGUACGGCAGAGGGGGAUGGAAUUCCGCGUGUAGCAGUGAAAUGCGUAGAUAUGCGGAGGAACACCGAUGGCGAAGGCAAUCCCCUGGGCCUGUACUGACGCUCAUGCACGAAAGCGUGGGGAGCAAACAGGAUUAGAGACCCCUGUAGUCCCUGUCUCUUAUAC
rnacentral:rRNA from 1 species